ACGAGGUCUGCAAGAGGACAAGGGUGGAGGUGCACCUCGGGCCUCCUGCCUGAAGAGCCCCAGUGGUGGAAGCCGGACAGUCCACCGAGCUGAGAGGCAGGAAUACCAGGCAGUGGACUGCAGAGGAGGAGCGGUGCUCAUUGCUGGGAACAGAAAAAAGACUUGGAUGGAACUUCAGACAUCACGUUUCUUAGCUUGUGAUGGAAAGUGUGUAAAUUAAAUGUCAAGAGGAAACCAGGCUGUGGAAAUCUAAUCCAGUCAGUGUACCUCCAACCCGAGAGCUGAAUUCAUCCUUGUCAGGGCACACGUGAAACAGAUGAUUUUGGCACAGAUAUAUUUGACAGCGGCAUAGGGACUGAUCUUGAUCCAGUAGCCUACAAAACACAAGGAUGGAUUCUUCCUUACAAUGAACCCUUUGAAAGGAAUUAUUCCAAUGCACAGCGAGUUGUGAGCCUACCUGAGUGUGACUGAUGGCUAUAUGGUUGCCAUGGAGAGGUGACUGACGAUCUUUCUCCUUGCUGUGCCGACUGCUCUGUUUACUACGUUGUAGUUGCUGCCUCAGUUUGGCAAUCUGCUUUGGGGAGAGGGAAAGAGAAGGAAGAAGAGAACAAAAGUGAAUAUCAAGCUUUAAGCAUUUAUUUUUUUAAGUUUGGAUAUUAAAAAAUAAAAAUUUUAUCAAA